rnacentral:rRNA from 1 species
UUACAAUGGAGAGUUUGAUCCUGGCUCAGGAUGAACGCUAGCGGCA